rnacentral:misc_RNA from 1 species
GAUGAAGAACGUAGCGAAAUGCGAUACGUAAUGUGAAUUGCAGAAUUCAGUGAAUCAUCGAAUCUUUGAACGCAUAUUGCGCUCUCUGGUAUUCCGGAGAGCAUGCUUGUUUGAGUAUCAGUAAACACCUCAACUCUUUUUUCUUUUUUGAAAUUGGAGCUGGACUUGAGUGAUCCCAACGCUUUCUUCCAAGAAAGUGGCGGGUUGCUUGAAAUGCAGGUGCAGCUGAACUUUUCUCUGAGCUAUAAGCAUAUCUAUUUAGUCUGCCUAAAAAACAGAUUAUUACCUUUGCUGCAGCUAACAUAAAGGAGACUAGUUCUUGUGCUGACUGAUGCAGGAUUCACAGAGACAGCUUCGGCUGACUUUGUAAACUAGAUCUCAAAUCAAGUAAGACUACCCGCUGAACUUAAGCAUAUCAAUAAGCGGAGGA